GGGCGCGUAGUUUAGUGGUAAAACGGGAAUCUGAUAAGUUCCUGUCCCAAGUUCGAUUCUUGGCGCGCCCA
rnacentral:tRNA from 1 species